rnacentral:rRNA from 1 species
GACGAACGCUGGCGGCGUGCCUAACACAUGCAAGUCGAGCGGAGUCGAUCGACGGAAGCCUUCGGGCGGAAGAUGGUUGACUUAGCGGCGGAUGGGUGAGUAACGCGUGGGCAACCUGCCUCGAAGACCGGGAUAACAGUCCGAAAGGGCUGCUAAUACCGGAUGUGGUCAAGGAUCCGCAUGGAUUUUUGAUUGAAGGGGAAACCCGUUUCGAGAUGGGCCCGCGUCCUAUCAGCUAGUUGGUGAGGUAAAAGCUCACCAAGGCGACGACGGGUAGCCGGCCUGAGAGGGUGACCGGCCACACUGGAACUGAGACACGGUCCAGACUCCUACGGGGGGCAGCAGUGGGGAAUCUUCCACAAUGGGCGAAAGCCUGAUGGAGCGACGCCGCGUGAGCGAAGAAGGCCUUCGGUUGUAAAGCUCUGUCUGGAGGGACGGAAGGAAGUGACGGUACCUCCGGAGGAAGCCACGGCUAACUACGUGCCAGCAGCCGCGGUAAAGUCACGUCG